rnacentral:misc_RNA from 1 species
GAAAAGCAAACGGAAUCGCCAAUGGGCAAUAAUAGAUCUAGAGCUGCAAAGAAAUGACAUUCGUUUAAAUAUUUUUGAAUACAUGUUUACUUACUGUUUAUUCGAAUGCCUUCAAAAUAUAAUGUUUACAUCGUAAGAUCAUGCUGUAUAUCUUCGUGAACUUGAUCGAAAUAGUUUUAUCGGCAUGGAAAACAACAGAAAGCUUUGGCAGUCCUAAUACUACAUUCCGUCCAUGUAACUUUGGUGUUUAUACGGGUUAUGAAGGAACUGAUCAUUGCAGAACAGUUUUGCUUGUAUAUUCUUCUUUUCCACUUUAAUCUCUAAAAGUGGCAUUGUGUACUAAUAAUACAUACAAAUGUACUUAGAAUCUGAUGCUAAUAUAACUCAAUAAUAUCAUAAAAUUAAUACUUUUGUGUUCCAAUGACUUAAUUUUAUAAACUUUUAUUGGUUCUUCGAUUUUUACAAAUAUGCAACUUUCAUGGAAAAUAAAUUAUUGAGA